rnacentral:rRNA from 1 species
GUAGGUGGCAAGCGUUGUCCGGAUUUAUUGGGUUUAAAGGGUGCGUAGGCGGUUCCAUAAGUCGGGUGUAAAAACUCCAGGCUCAACCUGGAGACGCCACUCGAGACUGCUAUGGCUAGAGUCCGGUAGGGGACCACGGAAUUCCUGGUGUAGCGGUGAAAUGCGCAGAUAUCAGGAGGAACACCGGUGGCGAAGGCGGUGGUCUGGGCCGGCACUGACGCUGAGGAGCGAAAGCGUGGGGAGCAAACAGGAUUAGAUACCCUGGUAGUCCACGCCGUAAACGUUGGGCACUAGGUGUGGGACCUUAUCAACGGGUUCCGUGCCGUAGCUAACGCAUUAAGUGCCCCGCCUGGGGAGUACGGCCGCAAGGCUA